UUGAUAUAAUUGUGAAAGACAAUAUCAAGUUUAUUUUUUCCCGCUCUAUUAUAGUUUAGUUUGAUUUCAACUUUUAACUAGUACAUGGGGUUAUUGAUUACAUGUACGUAAUCAUAUUGUUGGGGGAAAUUUGCAACCACCAAUAAAAAAUUAUAGGACACAUGGACAGAAAGCCAUGUCAUCAUUGCUGAUUUGAAGGGUGACUCCUACACUCCCCCAUGAAGACUCUCAAAUGUCGUUCCUCGAAUGCUCUGUGGGUCAUACGGAAAAUUGCUAAUACCAACUCCGUAGAGCCACUGCCAUUUACAGCAACACUAAAGGAUUAGCCGUAGCAUGCCACUAUCAACUAUGCCAACUAAUAGCGUCAUCAGAAAAGUGGUUUGUUCCACCGUGCGCACGAUAGUUAAUGACGUAACGAAACUUGGGCAAGUUAUAACCACGAUUUGAUCCUACCUAGAAAAAAAGAACCCAAAACACAAUCUUGAAAGACCUCCACUUCACAAAAAAAAGAAGGGAGAUUGAGAGAUGUGAAAAAUCAAGAGAGAAACUUACUCACACUUUGACACUUAGGUUAAACCUAAAUUCUGACAAAGGAAAAUGAUGAGUAUUUUCGGAACGUGUCCCAUGACAAGGCUACCUCACGAACAUGUGUCAUGGUCUUACACCAUCAGGGUUGGCCUUGGGCUAAAGCGGGUAAACCCCUUACUUUAGGUGCUGAAAAGUAUAUAGUAGUAAAGAGCAUUAAGUUUCAAAAACAUUGUCUUUCUGUUGCAUGGUUUAUAUCUCAGUUAAAAAUAUUUUGUGACUUUGUUAAACAAAUGGACCUAAAGACGUUUUAGGCAGCCAAAUCUGUUGGGCCGGCCUUGCUCACAGAGAGCAAGACCUCCACCCAUAUGCAUUGUGUAACGCCCUGAACGCCACCUAUCUUAGUAGGUCCUACGUCUUCUCUCGGUCUGUGAGUCCACCUCUUAUCCGAUGGCCGAUACACUACGUCUGGGAGGCUUUGAGAAUUUGUUUACCGAUCCUACAAAUCACAACAUGAUAUUUUCCCGUAUUUUGUCCUAACUCACACGGUUCCGACAAUCGAAAAGAUUCCUCUAUUAGCUAUAUAUGUACAUCAUAUAUUUAAUCUUCAUUGUGAUUAGUUUGCUAGAUUAAACAUAUGAAAUAGUUUAGAGUGGUUAAAAUCUAAGCAACCAAUUGUAAUCCAUCGGCCAAAGUCCAGAGGGAAAGAAGAGUAUGUGAAACCUCGUAGCGAAACAGAGUAACCAAAAGGUACACACGAAGAAUGUGACAUGAAGAGGUUUUAUCCUCUCUCGUUUUUUUUUCCUUUUUUCUUAGUUAGCUACUUUUGUCUGUCUUAACUUUACUAAAGAACGUUCCUUAACAAUGUGUAAGUUCAUGUAAGAAUCUCCUAUCUUGGGAAGCGCGAGGUAAUAUGUAUUUCUGUCUUUAUCUUUAACUUUUAAAUAACAAAGAACUGGUAAUGAAACGGGAUAUAAUCAAAGUAAGGAAUGAAAAAUUAUAAGAAAAAAAAAUCAUCAACUUGCAUAAAAUAAGUGUCAUACUAAGGAAGAAAAAAAACCAAGGAAUUGGUUACAAAGACAUUUGACUCUCAACGUGAUUCGGGAAAGCAUGGAGCAUGCGAUAAAAUAAAUUAUUGAGCACAGAUUUCUCCUCUAUGACUCCUUUAAGUUCGAAUCUUCUAAAACUGUUUCUCACCGGAUCAUAAAAUAAAAUAUAUGACGACUUACGAACCACAUCUGGUACAUAAAUAAACUCACCAGCAUGAGUGAUACCUUUUACUUUCAAAUAUGUAUUCGAAAUCUCAUCUUUGCGAAAAUAGGUGCACGAAAGCCUUUACUCGACCACUUGUGUUUCUCUGCAUCUUCCAAAAUGCACAAUGUCAUUUUACCAUCCGUCUCAGUAGUUUUUCUAACACAAGCUAUGAGGGGAUCCCUAUGAAAAUCAGAUGGUAACUGAAUCAUACCAAACUUUUCAGAUCUGACAUCAAAGCUCAUUACAACCCAAACAUCUGUACCAUAAACAUAGGCUAUAUAAUAUACAACCCCCUUGAUGCACCGACCCGAAGUAUGGUAGUCAGAACAAUGCGUAGGUUUAGUUUUGACAGUUCUCCAUGAUUCUUGAGCUGGUCCCAAUGUUAAAACCCGACACACAUCAGAACUUCUUCUAAAAGGCAAGCACAUUACUUUGUGUUUACCUUCGAUGGGAUCAUAUCCUAAGAAAACUGUUAGCCGCUCCCAGCUCUUUCUAGGUUUAGGUAAAGUUAAGCACUGCCUCUUGCUAGGGUUACAAACUAUUGGCGUUGCUGAUUCUUGAAAGCAGAUCAAGCCAUGGACAGAUUCCGUAAGGGGGAAGUUAUUAUGUAAUAGGAAUUUCAAAUGAUAACGAUCAAUAGGCUGAGAAGAAGAGUAAGAUUUGUUCGAAUCCUGAAGUGAAUGAUGAUGUUGCGGAAUCGAGGAAACAAACAAAUUUUCAUAUUCAGUGAAGCAAAGCAAAAGACUCGGCCUUGGGUACCGAGUUUCGAACAAUUUGAUGAAAUAUAGAUCUGUUGUGAUUAGGGAUGUUAAUUCUGGGCUUUAGCCCACUGGGUACCCAAAACCCACGUCAAAUAGUACUAAGUCCAUGGAUCUACUUUUUAUCUUAAAAAACGCGGGUUUAAAACGGGUCGGGUAUCCGAAUCAAGAGAAUCUUAUACGGGUUUACCUUAUCGGGUUAUGGAUACCCGUGGGUUUUUGUUUUUUAAUUCAUUCUAACAAAAACGACGUAGUUUCUUCUUAGAGACACGAUCUUUCUCAGAAACCCUAAACGCCCAAAUUCGAUUCUUCUCAGAGAGACACGAUUUUUCCUCUUCACCUUCAGAUUCUUCCUCUUCACCAUAAGAUUCUUCCUCUUCACCAUCAGAUUCUUCUUCUUCACCUUCAGAUUCGAUUGAAACUGUAUGUUCUUCUUCUUCUUCAAUUUUUCUCUCAAAUUCAAUUUUGUGUAGCUUUGAUAUAGCUUUCUAGAAGGUCAACAACACACGUGUGAAGUCGGAGGCACGUGCGGAGUGGUGAGCUGGAGGCUAAAAGAUUCUCUGUGACGGAAGUCGUUGUUAACGUCGUUACUUUUAUGCAUUAUAAGAGCAAAUGUUAGCUCACAGUUUUAUUAUGCAAAAAAACUUGUUCUCUGUAACUUUCUAGAAGUUUCUGGGUUGUUCUUCAUCGUUUUGCUGGAUUUCCUUCACGGAGUCUUGCAGGUGAGAAGUGGUGUCGCGUUUAUCAUGAACGUUGUAAUCCAUUUAUCGUAAUAAUAAUCGGAAGUUCUUUUACCAUCUCUUACUCUGUUUUUACGUUAACACUGGUAUCAGAGCUACUCAUCCUCGGAAACAAUGGUGGCUAAGUUAAGAUCGCGUUUAUUACAAACCAAUCCGGCGGAUGCAGAAGCUUCGGAGUUAGAUCAGAGCACGGAGGAGACGAUCAACUCACGAUUGGACUUGAUUCUUAACCGGACUCAAGCUCUGGAGGUAUCUGUAGCUGAACAAAACAAAAAAAUCGAUAAAAACAUUGCCGAUAUGUUUGAAAUUGUUAAAUCGAUGAGGUCAAAUCAAGCUUCAUCUAGUGGAAAAAUUGGUGCGGAUAAGAACUAUACGGCAGUAUCGGCGACGCCGGGUUCUUUUGAUGAUAGUUCCAGUCAACCUCGUGGUUAUAAACCUGGACCACAGGCUUCUUACGCUGGAGUCACACGUAUCGGAAAAGUGGAUUUUCCCAGAUUUGAUGGGAAUCGGGCUCGUGAUUGGUUGUUUCAGGUGGAGGAGUUUUUCGAGGUUGAUCAUACACCAAAGGAUAUGAAGGUGAAGUUGGCCGCCAUUCAUUUUAAUGGAAAGGCAGCGACAUGGCACCGAUCUUUGCUUCAUACUCCAGGAACCAAAAGAGUUCUGCGGGAUUGGGAAGCUUAUAAACUGGAGUUGAUGGAUAGAUUUGAGGAUGUUUUGGAUGAUCCGAUUUCUGAGUUAAAACAACUUCAAGAGACUAAUGGUAUUGUUUAGUAUCAUGACAAAUUUGAGUUGAUAAAAAAUCGAUUAGAUCUUUCUGAAGAUUAUCUUGUUGGUGCAUAUCUUGCGGGUUUGAGGGUUGAUACACAAAUGCACAUUCGAAUGUUUGAACCUGAUAUAAGAUUGGAACCAAUCCAACUUAUGAUCACUCAAUGAUCAAGAGAUUCCAAGCUUAACUUGCGGAAGGUGGAAUCCACGAGCUGGCUAUAACGCACUCUCUCGUGAAUCAAGGGAUGGAACGAUGGAUAGAUGCGAUUGACUCACUCAAUCAAUGAACAAACCAGAAGUUUGAAUCACUCAAACAACUUGAUUUGCAGACUCAAAAGAACUUAAUUGACUCACUCAAAUAAGAACUAAUGAAAGGAAACACAAAGAAUUCGCAACUUUGUGGAAGAAAAGAAAACAAUGUUUCUUAUGAACUUUAAAAUCUCGAUUAAGGGUGCCUUUACAAUGAGGAAUGAGCUGAGCUUUUAUAGGCUCGUAAUACAAUGUUUUUAAUGUCUAAAACAAGUAGCAAAUCGCAAAAUUAAAUGAGAAACUAGCCGUUGGAAAUGAAAUGGCAAAAUCCGUCGAAAUAAGGAAAGUAGCCGUUAGCUUGUAUCUUGAAAGCUUGGGGAGAAAGUGGUGCGUCCUGGGAAGUCUCUUGUUCACUAGGAGGGUCUCUAAAUCGCACUCAAACAGAUGGGGAAAGAUUUCUUGCUGGUUGAUCUCCUUUGGCUUCAAACAAGGCAAAUAAGGCAAGAUCGGUUCCGGAUAUGGAAAGUAAAGGUGUGUGAGGAUCCGCCUGAUCCUAUGUGUCUUGGUGCACCUUAGAGUGUUUUAGGGAGCUUCUAGAAGUAUCUUAAAGUCUCCUGGGCGCCAAUGGUACGUUUGGAGUCUCCUAAACCCGAAAGGUUCCAAAUAAGGCAAGUGUAGGCUCCUUCGGUUUAGAAAAUUAAUAUCUCUCAAACCAAAAUUGGUAUUGACUUGAUUCCAACUCUCUGUGGUUUUCUGAUGAGUUAAGAUUGUAUGAAAAUUCACUUCGUAACUUAACUCCUUCUGGUCGGGUCGGAAUCCUCCAAUGACUCUGUGUAUGUCCAAAUCGGGCAAGCUGGGAAUCACCCGACUUGUAAAUUGAAUAACUCGUUCGUGUGAACUUCUUUUGGGCUGAUUCUUCUUCGAGGUGCUCGGUAAUUGAGCUGAGAAUGUAUUCCAAGUGAUCUCUGGGCAGGAGGAAUUGAUCUUUGCCUUCGUCUGGACUGAACAAGGCUCAGGGGUCUUCUCGGAUAGGCUGAAUCUGCUUUGGCCCGAAGUUGUAGAUAAAACUUUGUUUAAAAUCCCACUUGGCUGCUCCUGGGUUGUUUUUUCUCGCCCGUAAUCUUCUCCAUGGUUGGUUCUUGGGUUGAUGACCGCAUCAGAACCUCUAACGAUUAAACAAUGUUUCUUGCUGGGGAAGUUGUAUGAGAAAGCACACCCACCACAUAAGACAACAGCAACACAAUGGUCAAACACUAGAAAUACUGGUUCCCAUAAUGUUUAGCGUCCUAUAACAAAUGUUAAGAAGGAGUCUUCUCCUCCUUCUGCUGAGCAGGUGAGUAACAGUAAUGAUUUCAGAAAACCUGCAAGGAAGUUCUUGUCACAAGAAGAGAUGAGCGCAAGAAGGGCUAAAGGAUUAUGUUACCUUUGUGAUGAAAAGUACACUCCGGAUCACUAUUUAAAACACAAGAAAACUCAAAUCUAUAUGAUCGAAGUGGAGGAAGAAGGGGAAGAUGACACUGGGGAGACCAAAGAUGGGGAGUUGCAGGUUGUGGCAUAUGAGGAACAAUGCAAGCCCUAGGUUUCUGUUAGUGCUGUCAAUGGAGUGGCUGACUAUUCAACAAUGAAAGUCAGAGGAUUACAUGCUAAAAAGCCGGUGUUUGUUCUGUUGGAUUCAGGGUCCACUCACAAUUUCAUGGAUCCUAGAACAGCAGCAACUUUAGGCAUUGAACAUAGACCUGCAGGUGCUACUAAAGUGUCUGUAGCUGAUGGAAGUAAACUAGGAGUAUUAGGGCUGGUGGAUAAAUUUAAAUGGGAGUUUCAUGGUGUUCCUUUUCAGGCUGACUUCAUGAUCAUAUCACUCGGGGGAUGUGAUGUGGUUUUGGGGGUGCAGUGGCUGGAAAUACUAGGUGACAUCACAUGGAACUUAAAGAAGUUUGAAUUCAGUUUUAUGUGGGGACAUAAAAGGGUUCUACUUCAUGGUAUCAAGCAAGGCUCUGUUCGUGAAGUUAAAACUCUCAAGUUCUAUAAGGCUCAGGAAGAUCAAGUUCAAAUAUCCAUGAUCUGUGCACACACCGUGAUGGAUGUUAACAAUGGGUCUGUAGGUGCAUUGGAGGUUACUUCCGGGUUUAAAGACAUUGUGCCAGAAAUAACAAGACUUAAAGACUCCUUUGGUGCCAUAUUUGCAGAACCUACUGCUCUACCACCUUUUCGAGCAAACCACAAUCACAAGAUACCACUAAAAGAAGGUUCUGAUCCUAUCAAUCAAAGACCUUACAGGUAUGCAGUUUACCAAAAAGACGAGAUCGAUAGGAUUGUUGAAGACAUGUUAGAGAAAGGGACUAUUCAGGCAAGUUCUAGUCCUUAUGCCUCUCCAGUUUUAUUGGUUAAGAAAAAGGAUGGAACAUGGAGAUUGUGCGUUGAUUACAUGGGAUUGAAUAAUUUAACCAUCAAGGAUAGAUUUCCUAUCCCUCUGAUAGAAGAUUUAAUGGAUGAGUUGGGAGGGUCUACAGUGUUUUCUAAAAUUGAUCUCAGAGCAGGAUAUCAUCAAGUGCGUAUGGAGCCAGAGGAUAUUCAUAAAACGGCUUUCAAGACUCAUAGUGGUCAUUAUGAGUACAUUUUCAUGCCCUUUGGUUUGAUAAACGCAACAGCAACAUUUCAAGGGUUAAUGAAUGCGGUUUUCAAAGAGUUUCUACGCAAGUUUGUGCUAAUAUUCUUCGAUGACAUAUUGAUUUACAGCCCUACAAUGGAAGAACACAUUAAACAUUUGGCUCAUGUGUUUCAGAAAAUGAGAGAGUAUAGUUUAUAUGCUAAGGAAAGCAAAUGUGCAUUUGCCAUAUCUAGAGUGGAGUAUUUGGGUCAUUAUAUUGAAGCAGGAGGAGUAUCUACAGACCCUACUAAGGUUACUGCAGUAGCAGAAUGGCCUAUUCCUACUACAUUAAAACAAUAACUCAGAGGUUUCUUGGGUUUAGCAGGUUACUACAGGAGGUUUGUUAAAAACUUUGGCACCAUAGCAAGACCUUUAACACUUUUAACAAAGAAGGAGGCAUUUAUGUGGUCUCAUGAAGCUCUGGAGUCUUUCAACUUACUAAAGAAAGCUUUGUGUGAAGCACCUGUUUUGGCCUUACCUCUAUUUGAUAAACCAUUUCUUGUGGAGACUGAUGCUUGUACUCAGGGUAUUGGGGCAGUACUGAUGCAAGAAGGCCAUCCUAUUGCCUAUAUCAGCCGUCACUUGAAAGGGAAGCAAUUGAAUCUUUCCAUUUAUGAGAAAGAACUGCUUGCGGUGGUCUUUGCAGUGCAGAAAUGGCGUCAUUACUUAUUGCCACAUCACUUUAUCAUUAAAACAGACCAGCGCAGCCUCAAAUAUAUGUUGGAGCAGCGAUUGAAUACUCCUAUUCAACAGCAAUGGUUACCUAAGCUGCUUGAAUUCGAUUACGAAAUACAAUAUCGCCAAGGCAAAGAAAAUAUCGCAGCUGAUGCUUUGUCCCGUGUAGAUGGGAGCGAGGUGUUGCAUAUGGCUAUGUUUGUCUUAGAGUGUGAUCUCUUAAAAGACAUUCAAGCUCAUUAUGCUACAGACUGUGAGUUGCAAAAGGUGAUUGAGGAUUUAGAGAAAGAUCCUAAAGCUAAGAAACAUUAUUCUUGGGUACAAUCUAUUUUAAGGAGGAAGAGUAAGAUUGUAGUGCCUCAAGAUAUACAACUGAGAAACAAAAUUUUACAAUGGAUGCAUUGUUCUGGUACUGGAGGUCAUUCGGGUAGAGAUGCCACUUUUCACAGAGUUAAGAGCCUCUUUUAUUGGAAAGGUAUGGCUGUGGAUAUUCAACACUACAUCAGAAGCUGCAGUGUCUGUCAACAAUGUAAGUAUGACACUUCAGCUUAUCCUGGUCUAUUACAACCUCUCCCUAUUCCUGAAGCUAUAUGGACUGAUCUCUCCAUGGAUUUCAUUGACGGUCUUCCUCUUUCUUCGGGUAAAUCGGUUAUUCUGGUGGUGGUUGACAGGCUGACUAAAGUAGCCCAUUUCAUUGGUCUUUCACAUCCGUAUACGGCUGUCUCUGUGGCUCAGGCAUUCCUUGACAAUGUUUUUAAACUCCAUGGGUGUCCAAGAUCAAUAGUGAGUGACAGGGAUACGGUUUUCUUGAGCAAUUUUUGGACUGAGCUAUUUACUCUCCAAGGAGUUGAUUUGAAAAUGUCUACAGCUUAUCACCCUCAAAGCGAUGGGCAAACUGAAGUAGUGAACCGUUGCUUGGAAACUUAUUUAAGGUGCAUGUGCAGUGAUAGACCUCAUCUCUGGAGUAAUUGGUUGGCUCUUGCGGAAUUCUGGUACAAUACUAAUUUUCACACCUCUACUCACAUGACUCCUUUUGAAGCAGUUUAUGGUCAGGCUCCUCCCAUUCACCUUCCAUACUUACCAGGCGAAUCUAAAGUAGCAGUGGUUGCCCGGAGUUUGGAAGAGCGUGAGCAGAUGAUCCUUAUUCUCAAGUUCCAUUUGUUGAGGGCGCAACAUCGUAUGAAGCAGGCUGCAGAUCUACAUCGGACAGAAAGGAGUUUUGAUAUUGGUGAUUCAGUUUUUCUCAAGCUCCAACCCUACAGACAAGGUUCUGUAGUCAUGCGUCCCAAUCAGAAACUUGCUCCAAAGUAUUAUGGGCCAUAUAAAGUGAUAGAUCGGUGUGGUAAGGUCGCUUACAAGCUACUGCUUCCAACAGGUUCUCUUAUUCACCCUGUUUUUCACGUCUCUCAACUUAAAGCAGUAGUUGGUAAGUGCACACAUCAUCUCAGCUACCAUCCAUUGUCUCCGAUGUGUUACUCAAAGAACCAGUAGCAAUCUUGGAUCGCAAAAUGGUUAAGAGACAGGGGUGGGCAGCUACAAUGGUUUUGGUUCAUUGGACUAAUGAAACAGAGGAGGAAGCAACUUGGGAGUUCCUCUUUGAUUUGCAGAAGAAGUUUCCAACCUUUGAACCUUGUGGUCAAGGUUCUUCGAAGAGGGGAGCUUUGAUAUAGCUUUCUAGAAGGUCAACAACACACGUGUGAAGUCGGAGGCACGUGCGGAGUGGUGAGCUGGAGGCUAAAAGAUUCUCUGUGACGGAAGUCGUUGUUAACGUCGUUACUUUUAGGCAUUAUAAGAGCAAAUGUUAGCUCACAGUUUUAUUAUGCAAAAAACUUGUUCUCUGUAACUUUCUAGAAGUUUCUGGGUUGUUCCUCAUCGUUUUGCCGGAUUUCCUUCACGGAGUCUUGCAGGUGAGAAGUGGUGCCGCGUUUAUCAUGAACGUUGUAAUCCAUUUAUCGUAAUAAUAAUCGGAAGUUCUUUUACCAUCUCUUUCUCUGUUUUUACGUUAACAAGCUUAAGUUACGAUUUUUUUGUAUCUUUCUUCAGUUUGGAGUUGAUGGGCUUUGGAUUUAGGGAUCUGCUCGAAGAGGGUUUGUGAAGUUAAGGAGAUUUUUCGGGUAAAUUGACUUUUUUGAUGUUUUGUAAAGCUUCGUCUUCUUAAGUCAUAUGAUUUGUGUUUGCUAAUCUUGUAACUCCGUGACUUGUGGUGUGAUUACUACUUCCAUGGGUUUGGUUUAUGUUUGAGAUUUGGUUCUUGUAAUUCCGUGACUUGUGGUGUUCCAUGGUGUGUUUAUAUUUUGCAAUUUAUCAAUAAUGACUGACUUAUAAAAACUUGAACUGGAAAUUUGAAUUGUUUUUCUGCCGUGAAUUGUUUGAUUUCCUCGUUUCUUCGCUGUUAUUUGUUCUCAUUUCAAAUUCAAUUUUGGAAAUUUAGUAGCUUUAUAAAAUGGGUAGUAGAGUAAGCCUCUUGAAUUGAAGUUUAUACAGAAUAAUGUUUUUGCCUGUAAGGUGUUUGACGAAAUUCCUCUGAGAACAUUAUCUAGUAGACAAGCUUUUAAGGAGCCUUUGAUGCAUUUAUUUUGUGUGUAUUUUGUAGAAGCAAACGUAGUAGACAGAACUGCAAUUUAUCAAUAAUUAUUUCAUGGUAUCAAUCAUUACAAGUAGUUACGUUUAUGUUUGAAAUUUCUAGCAAUGUUUACGUGUUACCAAACUCGCUUUGUGGCUGAGUUAAAGAUAGUAACCAAACUGGAUUCCUUUAUUUUAGGAUGGAUUCGCAAUCAAGAGAAACUAUGGCAGCUUUGGAUGCUGAGAAUGAGUAUAUGGCAAUGAAUGAAGAGGAUGAAACUCAUGGAGAAGCAACACAAAGUGAAGCAAUUGAAUUCAGCUACAAUUUCAAAUUCAAGUACCUAGAAUCAAUUCUUAAAAAUUAUUGAAUGUUUAUCUAAUUAAUUGAUAAUGAUUACUAAAUUCAAUUCAGCUACAAUUUCAAAUGUUAUAUAAUAAAGUUAAUAGGAAGUUUGUAUUAUAAUUAAUAAAUUAAAAAGAAAAAAUACAAAUACAUAUAAAUUACAAAUCAAUCAAUACAAUAAAACUACUAAGAGUUUCUCCAGCAAUGACACAUCAUCUUUUUAAGCUAUUGUGGGACUGACACAUCAUUAAAAAUGGUAUCCAAUUAAAACAUAAAAAUUAAUACAAUUCAGCUUUCAGCAUGCCACAUCAGCUUUACAACUUGCCACAUCAGCUAUUUAUAAAAAAAAAUACAUCAUUUUUAAAAAACACCAAUCAAAUUAAAAUAUAUAAUACACAUAUUUAUUUUUUAUUUUUUAAUAAUGAUACAUGGAUUUCUAAUUUGUUAAAAUAUAAAAAAAUCAAAUUAUAAAUAAAAUGAAUACACAUCAACUUAUGUUGACACAUCAACAAAAGAAUGCUUAUUAUUUAAUGGAAUUGAUCAAAUAUCUAAAUAUAAACUUUAUAUCUAUAGUUAUUUUUACAUAACAUAUUUAUAUUAAAGACAUUUAUAAUAUAAAGUUUUUACUAUAUAACUCAACAAUCAACAUAUUCUGAUUCAGUUUACACAUAAUUUGUUUUGAUAUAAUCACCAAAAUUUUGAUUUUGUGCUACUAGAAUUUAGUUUAAUAACUAUAUCCUUAAUUAAACCACUAAUCACAAGAUGUAUACAAUCACUUUUAUUACUUUUUGUUUUAGUAGAACAUGAUAUUUUAUUUAAAAAGUACAAUCAAUCAAAUUAAAAUAAUUAAUACACAUCAGCUUUUAUUAACAUGGACAAAAUUUAUAAAAUAUCUUACUUGGACGAACAGUUCAUAUUCCUAAUUGUAAGGAUUGUUAAAUCACUAGAUAAUACAAAUAUAUAAAUUUAAAUAAGCUUGUCUAUUCGGGUUUUUGGUUUGAUUUGGUUCAAAAUCAUUUAUAGAUAUUUCAUUUUUGUAAAUUAUAGUCACACACUAUAAACAAAAUAAUAAUAUUAAUUGAGUAUAUCUAAUAAAAAAGAAUUAAAAAAAUAACAGUGACAAAUAUUUGUACUUUUUUUAUCUACGUUUAUACGGUGUAAAUGCGUUAUAAAUAAUAGUAAAAUAGUGUUUCCUUGAUUGAGGGUUCUUCUCUUGGUAACGAAAAAGAGUAAAAAAUCUACAAAAUCCAAUAACAUAAUUAGAAGAAUACUUUUAUAUUAAAACUAUGGUAUAAACUAAAUUAUAAGUUAUUUUAACAAAUCAUUGUGAUUUAAAAGUUAAAAGAAUAAUUUUAUGUCUAUGUUAAAUAUUUUAAGUGUGAUUCAAAUUAUGGUUGUGUACCAUGUAUAAUGUUAAUGAAAAGAAAGUAAGGUUCUUGAAAUAUAAUAGUCGCUGAAAAUUAUAUACAUAUAAAAAGAAAUCAGAUCUUGUAAAACGUUAUAAACAUUAUAAAAAAAAACAAAUACAAAAAUUGACUAUACGGUAUAUUUAUUUUAUAAAAGUAAUAUAUAACAUGUAUUUAUUAAUGUAUGCAUAUAUAAUAAAAUAAUAAAAUAAAAACUACUAAAAUUUGAGUAAAGAUACAACACUCAAUCCUAGAAUCAUUUCAAACUUCUACCAAUCAUACUUGUAAUUAUAUUAAAACAAAGCUAAUUUACAAAAAAUAUCCCGCGGCAGAGCGCGGGUUCUUUAUCUACUAUUUAUAAAUCCAAAUAAAGAAGAAAAAAAGGAUAAUAUAAAUUCGGGUACCCACAGGUUACCCACACUCGUUCGGUUUUUAUUCGGGUUUACCCAUAAGAACCCGAAACCCAUCGGAUUUUUUGAGUUCGGGCUUUUCGUGGACGGGCUCAACUCGGGUUCGGGCUGGGCCGGGUUUUUUUACCCACGACUACAUUCCUAGUUGUGAUUGAUAACCAAAGCUUCGACACGCAACGAAACCUCGCAACAGAUUUCUCAGGUAGCCUUAAGAGUAUCUCUGAGAUUAGAUCUAGAGGAAAGGACGAAGUUGGUUUUGGAGAUUGUGUUCUUUUUCUUUUGGAGAAUUUUCUCUUCUCUUUUUGAGCCUCCAUUUUAGCUAACCCUAAUUUGUUCAGGUUUCGUUGAUUUCAACAUGGUUUCUAUUUUAAUAUUUAAAUAAUACGAAGAGAGUUUCAAUUUUAAUGGAAAGAAGAUAUGGUGGAGAUUUCAUGAGAUUUUUUUUGUCAACAGCUAUAUUAGAUUGGGUGAUAAGUUGCGGCUGGGACGAACAGUUCGAGUCAGUUUAUCCGCUUUCACAUUCGCAUUUCGAGAAACUAAAGAUAAAGAGAAAACAUCAAACUCUUCCUUGUCACUCUGAAUCGCCUCUAGGUAUGUUGCAAACGCUGGUCACUUGUGCGGGGAAGACACCAUCUUCACCAGGUCAGAGAAGUCUGUCAAGAAAGCUACUUCUCUCUUGUCUUGGCCGAUCAUACAUCUCAUCGCCCAAAUUAAUGCUUCGACCUUUGUGUAGUGAGGUAAGCUUCUUCGAAGAUUAGCAGCUCCCAUAUCUUGCGUUCCAUCAGUCGGGCUACUACCUAGUGACACUUUGAGGGUUAAAAUUGUCAGCCGGGUUUGUAUAUAUAUAUAUAUACCUUUACUAGUUUCAGUUUCAAAAAAUAAUAACCGGUUUUAAUUUUUUUGCAUCUUUCACUUUUAAAUCAGUAAAAAAAUAUUUUUAAGAAUUGUCUUUGUUGGCAAAGAGUUUCCUCUGCAUGAAACGGGUUCGUAAAGUUAGAAGAAGAGCUUGAUCGAGAACUUGUUUUUAUUAUUGAUCCCAUACACAAUAAACGAUAGAAGGGUUUAGAACCCUCUAAAACCGAAGUAGUAGUGGCGAACGUAGGAAAAGACUAGGUGUGGCUUGUGCUCCACUCUAUUUUUUCAAUUUUCUUACAUAACUAGUGUAAAAUAUAUUUAAAUGCCCUCUAAAUUAAUUAUUAGUUAUAAUUAGGCCUUGAUAUAAUAACCGAACCCGACUUGACAAACUCGACCAAAACCCGAAACCGAUGUUUUAAAAUACCCGAAUAGGUUCUAAAUUUUACAACCCGAAAACUUGAACACGAACUCCACCCAAACCAGAACCCGAACAAGUAUUCGAGCAUACCCGAAAUAUAAGUACAUAUAUGUUUGAAUUUGAAUAACCCGAUCUAAGAAUUUGAAUAACCAUAUUAUUAUUAAUAAUUCUUGCUAUAUAUGUUUUAUUUUAAUUGGACGAAAAAUUGAUCAAAGGGGGAUUUUAGUGAGGGAGAGACACGAAAUCAAAAGUUACCAAAAUUUUAGUGGAAACCCCCAAAAGUGGAAUGUCACGAAAAUGGAAUCAUUGUUUUCUUUAUUAUUAUUUUUGGUACGAUUUUCUUAGUUUAUCAUCCUAAAUAAUUAACCACAAAUUCUUUUAACGCAACGCACCAAUGGUCGUCUACUUUUGUAGCUUAUCUUAUAAUAUCUACCUAUAUCUUUUAUACUUUCUAAUAAAAUCUCACAUGUUUGCAUAGUAUAAGUUAUGCUAGGAGAAAGAGAGAGUAAAGACGUAUACAACUUAAAUCAUAAAACACUAAAUUAAAUCAAUGGCAUAUAUAAAGUUAUAGAACAUGCAUUGUAUGAUAUCACGGAAUGCAUGUUCUAUGGAAAACAUCUAAAUUUUAUGGUGAAUGAAGAAUCGGUGAAUAUAACUAGUGUAAGCCAUAUAUAGGAUCAUAGAUAGAUCAUCUACGAGUUGAAUUAUCAAUAUGUGAAUUAUAUUUCCUUUAUAUAUAUAUAUAUAUAUAUAUAUAUAUAUAUAUAUAUUAUAUAUUUCCGUUCCUUACUUACUUUCUUAGAGUUUCGAAAUUCUAUUUGUUAAAUUCAAACAAGAAUGCGCUCUUAAAAAUGCAUCAUAAAGUAGUACUGACUCUUAUCUUUUACAAACUUGACGAUGAAGAAAAAAAUAUUACAUUACAUAUUAUUUUUGAUUAUGUAUGAUUAAUUUGCAUUUUUUGGAGGUGAAUAAUAAUAUAAAUGUUGUAAACCACAUUACGGAUGGACUCCAUAACCGUGGCCCAUGUCCAUGUUCUACAAGGCCCAUGUCCAUGUUCUAGAAGGCCCAUGUCUAUCUUCUAGAAGAUUCGCCCAAUGACGGUUUAUGUUAGUCUUAGAGGGUUUUGGGUUUUAGGGUUUCCUAGUCCAAUUGGGAUUUGUCUCCCAUAUUGUGUAUAUAUAUAAGUUGUAACCUCAUUCUUUAAUCAAAGAGAAUACACGAGAUUCAUAACACGUUAUCAGCACGAUAGCCUCUAAAUCCCUUAGCUAAAGAUCUGACACAUAAACCCUAAUCUCACGAUCUCUCUAUCUCCAUCAAACCCCUAAAACGCAAAGAAAUCUGCCUCGGAACUUCAAAGAGGUCGUUCUCUCAAAUCGUAAGAACCCAGAAAACGAGCAAGAUAUCAAAUCGAAGCCCUCGCCGAGACGAAUCCAUCAGUGCAAACGGCUUGUCGAUCUGACCACCGACGCGCCCUCACGCACAGAUACAGUGUGCGCCGAUUUGUUUUGAAAACCCUAGCUAGCUCGUCCGUCCUUUUGCUUUCUCCUUUGCUCGGCGAUUCCUUCCAAGGACCAUACGCUCGUGACAAGUUGAUAACCGAGGUCUUUAGCUCCCGGUUCUAGUCCGUACAACCCCAUAAGGUUAAAGUUAACAUCAAAACCCUAAAGCUAAAGAACCAACAAUCGAACUUGAAAGUUAAGCAAAGAGAAACUCUAAAAACGAACCUUUCUUGAUAAGCGAUUGUUAUUUCCUUGGAUGAUCCGAUUGCUUGACUCGUUUAAGUUGCUAGAAAAGUUAUUAUUGCUUAAUCUCAAACUCGCAAACUCAAAAACACUUAGCCAUGGCCGAAACUUUUAAAACCCUAAAUCGAAUUGGAAACCUAAAACCCUAAAAUAUAAUCGAUUGAUUGAGGUUGUUUAGGUUGUUAGAUUGAUUGUUUCUUUUAUUGAUUACAUGCAUAAGUUGUUAGAAACCCUAAAACUAAAAUCGCAUGAACCCUAGAAACCUUAGAAAAGAUAAUCCUAUUGUAAAUCUUAAAACCCUAAAAUCCUAAUUAAAAUAGGAAAAUCUUAAAUCCUAUUGUAAAUAGGAAAAUCCUUAAUUCUAUUCAAAAUAGAAAAUUUCCAAAUCCUAAAUAAAAUAGGAAAUCUUAAAAAUCUAAAAUCAUAAGUGAAAUAGGAAAAUUAAUCCUAGAGUGAAGAGGAAAGUAAAUCCUAAAAGGAAAAGGAAAAGUUAAUCCUAAUUAAAAGAGGAAAUCUAAUCCUAAGCAAAAGAAAAAAUCUAAUCCUAAGCAAAAGAGGAAAGUCAAAUCCCUAAGUAAAUCGAUUCAUGGUUCGGUCUCAAAUACCGCAUGACACUAACGAUUACAUGAUUUUGACUCAAAAAUUUUCCUUGUAGAUGUUGAAUUACAACUUGUAUUUUACUGCCCUAAAUCUCUUAGGAGAUAAUUAUUUAAAAUGGGCAAUGGAUACUAAGAUUAUCCUAAAAGUCAAAAGGACUUGGUGAAUGUAUCUAAUAAGGCAAUAAUACCAAAAGAGAAAGAUAGAUACAAGGCAAUAUUAGCCACCAUCUUAUUGAGAGUCUCAUAAUCCAGGACUAUAAGUCCGUGGAUGAGUCUAUUGCUAGAUGAGCAAAAUAAUGACUUACUGAUAAAAACAGUGAAUUACGACCUCAUAGAUUAACCCCAUUACCUGAUGCCAAUAAGGCCGCAGAGGAUAAGAAAGAAUCCAAAGAAUCUAACCACGUCUAAAGUAAUAGACCACACGGCCGUAGCCGUAGUGGAUGGAAAUGACGUGGUUGUGGCCACUAUAACUCAUCCGGCCGUGGGAACCACUAUAACCGUGGAUGUAGACCCAAUUCCGGCCGUGGUCGAGGGCGAGGACGAUGUGGUAUUUCCAAACCACAACACUCGACCAAAUGAGUAUGCCAUAGAUGUGGAAUGGGGAACCAUUGGGAUAAGAUAUGUAGGACUUCCAAACAUCGUUGUGACCUCUAUCAAGAGAGUGUGAAAAGGAAGAAUCCUAAAGCCCAUUUGGUAUAUAAAAAUGGUGAACAUGAUCAAGAUGAUCUAAUAGAGUAUGAGACUUCUGAUUGCCUAAAAGAAUCAAGUUGAUAAAUCUGAGUUCGACAUCAAAACCUCUAUGUUUUCUUUGCAUUUUAUGUUUUCAUUGAUUGUUAUUUCCUUGAAUUUAUUUUAUAUUAUUUUAUGUUUAAAACAUGAUUCUUGUCCAUAUAAGAAAUGGCCGGGGACAAGAACAUAUUUGUGGUGGAUAGUGGAGCCACACAAAAGAUAAGAGAUAUUUUCCUAAAUCUCAUAAUGAAAAAAAUGCCAAUAUUAGCACUAUAGCGGGUAUAGCAAAUCUUAUUGAGGGCUACGGCCAAACCCAUAUUCUAUUACCAAAUGGCACGCAUCUUGAACUAAGCGAUGCCUUAUAUUCACCCAGCUCAAAGAGGAGCUUAUUGAGUUUCAAAGAAAUAAGAUUGAAUGGUUUCCAUAUUGAAACAAAGGGUGAAGGGAACAAAGAAUUCCUAAAUAUAAUUGAGAUCACCAAAGGACAUAAGAAAGCCUAGAGACUAUACCAGCAUUAUCCACUGGUCUCUACUAUGCUAAAAUCGAUAUGAUCGAAGCUAAUAUGGCAACGAACAAAGAGUUCAUCGAGAAAUUCACUUUAUGGCAUGACCGGCUUGGCCAUCCGGGUCAUAGUAUGAUGCGUAAACUAAUAACUAAUUCAAAGGGGCACACCCUAAAAGAGAAAAGAGUUAUCCCUAAGAAUCUCACGUGUGAAGCAUGUUCACAAGGAAAACUCAUUAUAAGGCCAUCACCGGCAAAGAUAAAUAAAGAGACAUUAAAUUUUCUGGAAAGGAUACAAGGGGAUAUAUGUGGACCAAUACACCCACCAUGUGGGACAUUUAGAUAUUUCAUGGUCCUCAUUGAUGCAAAGACAAGAUAGUCGCAUGGUUCGGUCUUAAAUACCGCAUGGACUAGUCUAAAAUUGAUUGCAUGAUUCGGUCUUAAAUACCGCAUGGCCCAGAUCAUAAGACUGAGAGCCCACUUUCCAGAUUUUCCGCUUAAGACUAUACGUCUAGAUAAUGCCGGUGAAUUCAUGUCCCAAGCGUUUAAUGACUAUUGUAUGUCCAUGGGGGUAAGUGUGGAACAUCCCGUGGCACAUGUACAUACUUAGAACGGAUUAGCGGAAUCCUUCAUUAAACGAAUUUAAUUGAUAGCUCGACCAUUAUUCAUGAGGUCGAAGCUUCCAGUAGCCGCUUGGGGACAUGCUGUUUUACAUGCAUCAGAGCUUAUACGCAUAAGGCCAUCUAGUGAACAUAAAUAUUCGCCAUCCCAAUUAUUAACGGGUCAUGAGCCAGACAUAUCCCAUCUAAAGACAUUCAGGUGUGCCGUAUAUGUACCGAUUGCUCCACCACAUAGAACAAAGAUGGGACCUAAAAGGAGGAUGAGAAUAUAUGUUGGAUUUGAUUCUCCCACCAUUAUUAAGUAUCUAAAGCCAACCAUGGGUGAUCUAUUUAAGGCUAGAUACGCAGAUUGUCAUUUUAAUGAAUCCGAAUUUCCUACUAUAGGUGGAGAGACGAACAAGUUGGUCAAAGAAAUAUCAUGGAAUCAAACAUCCUUAAAUUGGCAAGAUCCUCGGACUCUGAUGUGUGAUUCAGAGGUCCAUAAGAUAAUAAAUUUGCAAAAGCUAGCUAAUGAAUUGCCAGAUUCCUUUGAUGACCCAAAGAGAGUUAUAAAAGCGUACAUACCAGCUUGCAAUGCACCAGUACGUAUUGAUGUUCACAAGGAACACAAUCAAGUUGCUACAGAGUCUAGACAACGUAAGAAACAUGGUAGACCAAUACGUUCCAAUGAUAAAAACCCUCGGAAAUUAAAGAAAGGUGCAAUAGGAAUCCGAGGUUAUUAAGGAAACCAUCCCAGACAUGGAGAUAAGGCCGGCCGGCUCUAAGGUACAGGUACCAUAUAAUGUAGCUUGGGACGCCAAGCUGCAAAGUAUUAAAGGUCCUGACCAUAAUAAAUCUCAAAUCGAUUAUAUCAUGUCUGGAACAUAAUGGAACAUAUAAGAAAUGUCGACAUAAGAUGAUUUUGCAUGCAAGGUAGCACUUGAAUUUAUGAAUAUAAAUGAGGAUCAGGAGCCCACGUCCAUACUAGAGUGCACUCAAAGACUUGAUUGAUUAAAUGGUACAAGACCAUAAAACGUGGAGCUAAGAAUCAUUAAGAAAAUGAAUGAGUUUGGUCCGACCUUAAGGACACCAUUCGAUGUAAAAACCAGUAGGACACAAAUGGGUCUUUGUGAAGAAGAGAAAUGAGAAUAAUGAAAUCGUGAGAUAUAAGGCACGGCUUAUAGCACAAGGAUUCUCACAAAGACCGGGGAUAGAUUAUGAAGAAACAUACUCCCCUGUGGUGGAUGCUAAGUCUGGCUAUAUAAAGGAAAAGAUUUGAUUUGCGGCUAAUGGAUGUAAUGCAUGCAUAUUUAUAUAAGUCCACUGGAUAAUAUAUGAGAUUACCAGAGGGUAUUGAGCUCAAAGAUAAGAAAGAUUCUCGAGAAUAUCACUGCAUAAGGCUGGACAAAUCCUUUCAUGGACUUAGACCAAAUGGGCGUAUGGAAUGUUAUAAAUGAUCCCAUUAGUCCAUGUAUUUUCAUAAAGAGGUUUGCAAACAAAGGAUUUGUAAUCAUAGCAGUGUAUAUGAAUAAUUUAAACCUCUGGGUAAUCGACCAAACAGUUGAGUAUAUCUAAAAGAAAGACCUAGGAAAUAAUUAAGUUAUGUUUGAGAUUACAACCUGAGUACAUGAAUAAUGGAAUCCUUGUGCAUCAAAAUGCAUAUAUUGAAAAGUACUCAAGGAUAUUUAAUAAGGACCAGGCCCGCCCAUUGACCAGGCCCAAUGGGGGUGAGAAUCCUUGGAUUGGAUAGUGAUCCAUUUGGUCCAAAGAAGGACGAGGAAGAAGUUCUCGGUCCUGAAGUGCCAUACCUCAGUGUCAUAGGAGCGUUAAUGUACUUGGCUAGCCACACUAGACCAGACAUAUGUUUUGCCGUGAACCUCCUUUGUCUAAAUUUAGUUCAUGAUCAACCCAAAGGCACUGGAAAGGUUUGAAGGAAGGUUUGGUUAAAUUUUAAAGUUUAUUCUUCCUACUUUGUUUAUUUGGGUUUAUUCUAUACUGAUCUAACCAAAAAAGGUCUAGUUUGCCUUGGUUUAGUUUGUUUUGCUGAUGCAGGUAAGAUCAGAUUAUGGCAUGGUUAAUAAAUAGGAACUACGUGUGGCUUGAUCCCUUCCAAGGGUACGUAGGCAGCCUUCUUCAAGGCGCAGCUACUACAACAUCAAAAACCAUCAUAUGUGAAGACAACGUAGCCAUGUAUCGCUCAGCUCAAGGAUGGCUACAUCAAGGGAGAUCGGACAAAGCACAUUCUACCUAAGUUCUUCUUCACGCAUGACCUACAAAAGGAUGGUGAAGUUCAAGUGGUGCAAGUUCGUUCAAGCAACAACUCAGCCGAUCUCUUCACUAAAGCACUACCGACAACAACAUUAAGGAAGCUCACGCAUCAAAUUGGAAUGCGGAGACUUAAGGACUUGCAGGGAUGACCAAAACAGGGAGAGUAAUGCGUGUUGUACUCUUUUUCCUUCACAGUGGUUUUGUCCCAAUGGGUUUUCCUGGUAAGGUUUUAAUGAGGCAGCAUCCCCAAGGGCAUUACAAAGAUCCUUUGGCAUCUACACGGUUUUGUCAUCCAAGGGGGAGUGUUUUAAACCACAUUACGGAUGGACUCCAUAACUGUGGCCCAUGUCCAUGUUCUACAAGGCCCAUGUCCAUGUUCUAGAAGGUCCAUGUCUAUCUUCUAGAAGAUUCGCCCAAUGACAGUUUAUGUUAGUCUUAGUGGGCUUUGGGCUUUAGGGUUUCCUAGUCCAAUUGGGAUUUGUCUCCCAUAUUGUGUAUAUAUAUAAGUUGUAACCUCAUUCAUUAAUCAAAGAGAAUACACGAGAUUCAUAACAAUAAAUUUAUAAAAAUUGGUGAGUUGGAGGGGUUUUUUGCACAAAAUCCUAUGAUAUAUUAAGUUUGCCCAAAAAUAAAGCAGUAUUGAAAUAAUUCAUAUAUUGGAUUUUUCUCUGAGUGGUUUUAGUAUUCAGAAAUGAAUAUAUUUUCCUUAAUUUCAAGGUCACCUCAUCAAAAAUUGGGACAUUAUAAGGACCAUGUCGUGUGUCAAGCCCUAAAAUAUGCAGCAUUUCAUGUUCAACAAAUUUCUGUUAGAGAUCGUUUAAUCUUUCUAGAUCUACAAAUAUAUAUGAUAUGGAUAUAGAUCAUGGAAAAUAAUUAAUUUGAUUAUUUUUACCAUAACCUAUUAUUACAAGAGAAUUCUACAGAAAGUUGGAGAAAUUAUUUCUAUAAUCAAAAAAUGAUUUUCACUUUUUAGUGUCCUAAAUAUUAUAGAAAUCCUAUAUAGUACCAAAUAUAUUAGAAAUUAUGAAAGACUAGCUAACAAAUUUUACAAGAUUUUCAAAAUAGCACACCGGCCAACCAUUAGAUAAAGAUGGAAUCCAUCAACCAAAACAUGGACGUCGUGAUCCUGCACAAACAAUCCCAGCCAAAUUGUUACAAAUAAUAUAGAUAUAUGAAUAUGACCCAUGUUUAGAGUACUGAGAAAAAGCAAAUGACAACAAAUAAUGUAAAACUCUCGAUAGUUAGUGAGGCUGCUAAUGUCACUAGCUCCAAUCAAUUCAUAUAUACAUACCAAGUAUUUCCCUAGGUAUAUCCUAUUGCUAAUCUAUAAAAUCAUGUUUAAGCAUAUAUAAGCUGUUUUAAACAAAAGUAGAGUUCACUACAAAAAAUAAAAACAAUGUAAAAUUCAGUUUUAUUAUACUUCACCUACAAAUAUCGACUAGCAUUCCGACAUUACUAUUUAAAUGUAAGACUAUUAUGUCGAGAAUUAUGACUUGUCUGCGUUAUUUAGAUUAUAUUCUCCUCUCUCUUUUCACAUAAUCUGUUUAUCCUACACAAAUUAUAUUUGUUUUGCUUGAUAUGUUCGAUCUAGCAUUACUCAAUCAGCGACCACAAUACAAAACUGUAUUUUUUAAGGAUUUAAAAAUACAAUGAGUGGCGUGUAUUAAUCAUGUAAUUGGUUAACGUCUUGUGUUUUUUUUAACAGCAAUAAUAAGUUUUAAAAUUUAUCAAAAUAAUGGGGUUUAAAAAAAAUGGACUUCUUCUAUCUAAAAACAAUUUAAGUGACCAUAGUCUAACAUAAAUCCCAAUAGCCCAAUGGCCCAUACAAAUUUUGUACACGAGGGUAAGGUCCUAAAUUCUAAGGGAUAAUGAACUCUAUAAAAUAUUAUAGGGUAAUUCGAAAAAGCUCCAAAUUCUUAAAUCAUGUUUUCCAAAACUACGACAAAAAUUCAAAAUUAUUAAAAAUACCACAAAUUUGUUUGGUGUAUAAGGUUGUUGAAAGUUUAAUAAGGGGGUACCAAGUGAUUUAAGAAUUAUUACUAAAUUUUUGAAACCUUUAUUAAACCUAAAAAUUGUACUGUUUUCGGAUUUAUUUAUAUAUUGUUUUUUUUUAUUAAAGUUUUUAUGGGGUUUAAAGUUAUAUUUUACAAUGUAAAUUUUGUAGGCUAUUUUUAGUUAUUUGUUUUCAAUUCCUAUAUCCUUCCUAAUUUCCAGGCCAGUUCCUAUCUCCAAGAACUAUCACGCCAGUACCUAUUUUCAAGAUUUAGUUCCUAUAUUUUAUGAAACGUUUUACUUUACAUAUAUAUUUUGACAACGUUUUCUAAUCCAUAAUGGAUUAUAGACUAGUCUAACUCUUUAAACAAAAAAAGAAUUGAUGAUCAUUUUUUCAGUAUACGGAACUUCUUAAAAUUUGAAUUAAGUCCAGCAAAUUUAUGUUAGAAAUUUUUUUUUUUUUUUAAUACAAAUUGUCAUAACUCAUAAGUAUAAAUAUUUAAAUCAAAUUUUGUGCAUGACUUUAUUUCUAAAAACUCGAUCUUAAUUAGUCUUGAAACCAAGUAUUAUCGAGGUAGAUGCUCGAUUAGAGUUAGCUCAAAACAAAUACAUAUUCUAAGUUUUUUGGGGUCAACAUACGACAAUUCUUUUAUUAAUCCCCAAUAUAUUAAUAGAGAAACAUUUUUUAAAAAAAAACUUGCGAAGAUAAAGUCAUUUAUUUUGAUUUUUUGGGGUCAACAUAAAAAAAAUUACGUUGAAGGUGCAUUGUGUUUCAAAGACCAUGGAACUUGUUGAUAAUUACCCUCGGUGUGAAGACUCUCUCAAGACGGUUUUAUUACAGGACACAUGUACUGGAUUUUGCUUCUCUCUUCCAAAAAUCUUUUUUUUUGUCAAGAAGGGGAAGAAGAAUGAUCAGCAAUGCUUUGGAAAAAGGAAUUUAAAGUUAGCGUAUAAAUGAAAACAGGCCUUAAAGGAUUUGUUAGUCUCUUCACAAUUCCAUUUAGUAUCAUCAUAUAGUAUUUGGCACAGUGUUAGCAUCUUGUAUAUAAUCCCUCCAUCUUUUAGCAUUUUCAUCAGCUUUAUUAUAAAAGCUUUUUUUCGGUGUGAUCAUUGUUCUUUUAUCUCAUCGAUGAGAAAUCAUAUUAUCUUAAUAUCAUUUGCUCCUACCCUUUCACAGAUUCAUUAGAUCAUGUCCUACUUUGGUUUCUACUCCUCCAGUCAUUUGGAAAAGAAAGGAAAGAUUUAUGAAUGGUGGUAAUUGGUAACACUAACUUUGAUCCAAUAUCUGUUUUGACUUCUUGUUGUGUUUGGUUUAAAGACUCCAAGAUCAAAGUUCAAACACUUCAGGAUUUGGCAUACAUAAAGGACUAAAAAAGAUCACUAGCAUUGUCUUUAUGAAUAACACAGUUGCUUAGUCUAAUACUACUGCCUUUGCUGGAACAAAUUUAUCUAUGUUUUUUAAUUUCGCCAUUAAUGGAAUGCAAGACGACACGUUGUGUGAAUAGAUGGAUGCAAGAGUUUAAGCUAUUCAAUCGCAAUCUCCAUCAAGCAAUCACAUGGUGGUGGUGGUGGUGGUGGUGGUGGUGAUGAUGGUGGCGGUGGCUGCAAAAUUCUUUUGCAUAACUCCUGCAACAGCUUUUACCAUUGUGACGCUUCUCUUUUUCCUUACAUUUCGAUGCACAAGCCUCUGGAAUCUUCACUUUGCAACAGGUCUCUGACUUAACGGCUCUGUUUGAGCUCUCACAUUGCUCAUCCUUCUUCACUUGCAAGUCAGAUAGCACCAGAUCAGUAGAACUAGUGCAACAGCUUUGACUAGACACUUUCACUGUUCCACAGCCUCCGGAUUGAGCACUCUCCACAUUGACCAACUUUGAAGACCCUUCUUGUGUCAAACAAGUUCCACAACAAUGUGAUUUGCAAUCACCACCACCUUCAGUUUCCAAGCCUGAAACCACCAAGCUAACAGGCUUCUCACCACAGAUUUUUGUCACUUCUUUGUCCAUACAACAUCCGAGGAACAAUCCAUGCUGUCUGUCUCUUCCUCUGAAGCCAGAGUGAUUUCCGUUGUUUGCUUUUCAUCGUUGCAGCAACCAGACUUGCAAUGUCCUUCAUCCUUUAUCUCCAGAUCACAAUGCUCCUCCACUUCCCCUUCUGUGUUUCCACAACAAACCAACUUGAGAUCAUCACAACAUACACCAGUUUCCAUGUCCAAACCUUCCUUCUCCACCAACACAGCAUGCUUCUUCUCAUGGAAGCUUUGUUUCACUGUCCCCUCAUUCACACAACAUCCCGAGAAGCAAUCUUGAUCGUCUGUCUCUUCCUCAGAAGCAAGAGUUAUUUCCCCGGUUUGUUUUUCAUCGCUGCAGCAACGAGACUCGCAGUGUCCUUCAAUCUUUAUCUCCAGAUCAGUUUUUCCUGCAACUUCCCCUUCUGUCUUCCCACAACAAACCAACUUGAGAUCACAACUUACACCAGUUUCCAUGUCCAAACCUGCCUUCUCAUGGCACCUUUGUGUCACUGUCCCCUUGUUCUCGCAGCCAGACUUGCAGUUUCCUUCAUCUUUAAUCAGCACUUCUUUCUCCGGGUAAGAUUUGUCCUCACUAGCAAGCAACAAACCUAUUUCCUUAACCUUCUUCUCUUUAUUGUCGCAACAGCUUGUUUUGCAGGGUUCCUUUCUCUGCAACUCUAUUUCCAAACCAGUUAAUGCCUGAGGAAUAAUCUGCACCGGGACAACAAUUUCCUCAGCAUGCUUCUUCUCCUCGCAAUGGCCAGAUUUGCAGUCUCCAGCACUCUCCAUUUGCUGUUUUGGUUUCUCACAGCAGCUCUUUGCCACUACUUCCUCUACCUUCUCACUUUUGUUAGCACAACAACCUGAACCACCUUUCAUUUUCAGGUCAUGUUUGACAUGACUAGACUUCUUACAUGAGCUCAAUGAAACCAUGUCUCCCACUGCUUUUCUAGUUUCCUCACCGCAACAGCCAUCUCUCACAAGUGGCUUCACUUUGUCUUGCUUCUUAUCGCCACAACAACCAGGGUGAGAAUGAUCAGAACUGGUUUUACUACUUGGUUUCAUCAUCACAACCUUCUCUUGAUUUUUCUUAUCUCCACAACAGCUUGAGUUACAUUGACCAUUCCCGCUCUUUGUUAACAAGCCUGCUUCUAAGUCCACAACAUCAUCAUCAUCGCCUUCGAGUUUCCUACCAUUCAACAUAGAUGUUGAAGCCCUGUAACACUUUUUGUUCCCAAUCUUUUUCUUCUCUCGCAGCAGCAACAUACUAUUGAGAAUCACAAGCAAACAAGUCCCUACAUCAACAAGAACCGCUGCCCAAAUCAAAGGAUGACCAGCAAAUGCCAAAGCCAGUAUUCCUGCUUUUAAAAUGAUGGAAAGAAACACGUUUUCAACAACUUUGCGCCGAGCUCUUCUCGCUAGCUUCACCGCUUGUGGUAUCCGUCUUAUGUCAUUAGACAUCAGAAUAAUAUGACCAGUCUGCGUAGCAAGCGCAGAGCCAGAAAUUCCCAUGGAGAUACCAAUAUCAGCUAUAGCUAAAGCUGGUGCAUCAUUCACACCGUCCCCUACCAUUGCGGUUGGUCCUUCUUUCUUAAACUCUUGUAUGAUUUUGGAUUUAUCUUCAGGAAGAAGUUCUCCAUGUACAACAUCUAAAACAUUCCCUAGCUGUUUCAUAAAACAUGUCAAGGUAUUAUUAAAUAACCUCUUGGCUUUAGAGAGUGAUUAAAAUUAUGGUUUUUAGUUUCACUUGUUCUUGAGCAUGCAUUGCCGCAGCUUGACUAUCUCCAGUUAGCAUUGCGGUUUUGAUUCCUAGAGAUUUCAGUUCUGUCAUUGCUUGAGAUACACCGGAUCUACAAGCAUCAGAAAGAUUGAAAACUCCAGCUAGUCUUUCACCUACAUAGACGUAUCCAACAGUGUUUCCACCUUUGGUAUCAACUUCAAUCUCUGGAAGUGUCAAGAAGAAACAGUCAAGUGAUCAGACUAAAGAAUAACAAAACGUCAAAAAACUACAUUAAGUUUUUUUAUUACAAGUACCUGUUGAACAACCAGCUCGAGAAGCAAUCCUUUUAUUCCCGAUGUAGAUAUCGUUCCCUUCAAUCUUCCCGUAGAUUCCUUCACCUGGAAAAUUCUGGUAGUCCUCAACCUCUUCAGGCCUAGGCUCAACAGAAACGGAUUUCGCGUAGUCCACGAUUGUUGCAGCCAUUGGAUGACUUGAUUUGCUUUCAACACUUGAUACCCUGAAACAUUGUAUAACAAGAAAGUUUCAGUCAUAAGUUAUCUCAGCAAACUUGUUUUAGUCAGAACACAAGUUUAGUUUUACCAGUAAAGCAAGCUACGUAGGGUUAUAUCUCUAGAGAGUGACUUGAAAUCUAUGACAAUGAACUCUCCUCUAGUAAUAGUCCCGGUUUUGUCGAAAGCAGCGAUCUUCAUCUUUGAGAGAGUGUCCAGAUAAUCAGCACUUUUGAUCAGAAGCCCGGAAGUUGCUGCUUUAGUAAGUGCACAGAAAGUAGCAACUGGUGUAGAGAGGAUAAGACCACAGGGACAGCCACUGACUAACACAACUAAUGCCAGGUGGAACCAAUGUUUAAGGUUGUGGACCUUCAUAAUAACCGGGACAAUGGCGACGCAAGCUGAUACUACGAUGAUUGCUGAAAUAAAACAAGAAACACAGAGGUCUCAAAUUACGCGAUUCAAGGACAUAAAGAAACCCGGAAAAAUAAGUUUUGUUUAUGUUUUUGCUUACCUGGAGUAUAGUACUGAGAACAUUUGUCUAUUAGUCUUUGGGAUUUGGUUUUACUGCUCUGAGCUUCUUCUACUAACUUAGCCAUCUUCGCAACCACGCAAUCACCCGCUAAAGAAGUUGUUUUCACACUUAUGUAACCUGCAAAACACAGGGAGAUAGAUCAAAAGAGUGAAAGAUAAAACAAAAAGGUAUAAAGCUUGAAGCUCUUAAAAGAGGAUUACAUACCAUUUAGAUUGAUAGUUCCAGCCCAAACCGUAGAAUCUCUCUGUUUAGGUACAGGAAAUGCUUCGCCGGUUAAGGUUUUCUCGUCUACUUCACAGUUUCCAUCCACCACAAUUCCAUCAAUUGGUAUGGUUUCACCAGCUUUAACCGCUACAACUGUGCUAAUCUUAACCUCAUCUACUUCAACUUCUUCACCAGUCUCUGCUAUUAUUGCCUUCUGUGGAGCUAAGCUCAUCAGAGACUGCAUUACCGCUGUUGCCUGAGAUUUGGGGGUUUUCGAUUUUCUUUGAAUCCAAGUGAUUAGCAUCCAAUGUCUUCAUCAUAUAGUUCAGGUAAGUGAUUCUUGUGUUCGUUUUAGUUGUUGUACAUCAAUUUAGAUAAUAUAGAUGAGAAUUUUGAUUUUGAAUUUGUUGAAGGGAUGAAUGGUAGCUUCAAUCGGCGUGGAGCAGAAAGAGGACUACCUAAAAAAUGUAGAUGUGGUGCAGAAUCUGUAAUCAAAACUGCAGAUACAUUGAAGAAUCCAGGGAGACUUUUUCAUUGUUGUCCAUAUGGGUCAAAAGAGGUAUUGUUGGUUUUGAUUUAUCAUUUAAAUAGAAGAAAAUGAUGUAUAAACAUAAUUUUGUUGUAGGAUAAUGGACAUUUGUUCAAAUGGACCGAUAUAGCUAUGGUUGAAGAGAUGAAAGAGGUUGAGGGAGUUGUUGAGAAGAUACAAGCUGAGAUGGAGAGUCUAGCAUGUGAAACACGCACAUGUGAGGCCGUUGCAAGUAGCUAUGAAAAGGAGAUUGAAGCUAUUAAAGCACUUGCAAAAGGAUGUGAGAAAGAGAUUGGAGAGCUCAAAGCUAUGAUCGUUUGCAGUGAGAAAGAGAUCCAAUCUCUACGUUGUUUCAAAAAUAUCAUUGUAUGUAGUGUAGUCUUGUUUGUGGUGUAUGUUUUCAUCUUUUAAGUGUUUGUAUGAGGAAUGACUUUGUUAAGUUAAGAGAAAUUUGUUAGUUUGAAUUGAUUUUGAUUGAGUUUUAGUUUCAGUUUGAAUCGAUUUUGAUUGAGUUUCAGUCUCAAUUUGUAGAGAUAUCGACACACAAAAUUGCAGGUUUAAUCUCUUUGAUUUGCAGGACAUUAGGACCAAGUCUCAUUAGCUAAAAAUAAAUCAAAAUGCAGGUUUUGAUCAUCCUAAAACAACAAAUCCGAGGCAGUUUAACAAACAACAAAAACCAUCAUCCUAAAACAAAACAAUCCAAAAACCAUCAUCCUAAAUUUUGAAUCAUAAUAGUUUAGCAAACCAGACAAUUACACAAUUAAUCAUUAAGUGAACUUUGAGAUGCUUGACUUGCUUGGCUUGGACCUUCUUCUUGUCUUUUAGAUGCUCUUUUGCUUAGGACCCCAACAUUUGGACACCUCCUAGUGUUAUGUCCUGAAAUGCUACAUCGAGCACAAUGCAAAGUCAUACCUUCUCUAGUUAUUUUCAUUUUCUUUUGAGGAGGAUCUUCAAUUUCUUUUUCAGCUUCCUUUCCUUUCUUCUUUUUCUUUUUUCUCUACCAUUCACUUCAUUGUCUUCUUCACCAACUCUAGCAGUCACAUCAUUCACAUCAUUACCUUCUUCAGGAGACUCAUCAUUUUCCAAGAAUAUAUCAACAGCUUUUGUCUACUUCGCAGCUAAACACAUUCUCUGGAAAUUUUCAGCUUCAACAUACAACAACUUUAACUCUUGAAAAGUCUCAUAAGGUAGCUUAAACCAGAUCCUUUGCCCAAUUAGAGAUAACCCCAAUGACCCAGUCAUGUUAGUAAAAACAGCUUCCGGAUUACAUUCAAGCAUGUGAAUCUCGCCUCCAACAUAUGUAAGAACAUUUCCGGCUGAAACUACAAACUUUCCAUUGUAGUAGAUCUGGAAAGUCGUAUCUUCAGAGCUGAAAAACGAAAAAAAGAGGAUUAUAAGAAAUUAGCAUUCUAUCGAACACUUGGUGUUCAAUAAAAAAAAUUCUAUUGUGGCUCAAAAUCGAGACAAUUCAGAUACAAUAAACUAACAAAAACUAUGCAGAGACACAAAUUAUCCAUAAUUAUCUACUUAGCAACUCAAGGAAUCGAUGUGAAAACAUCCGAAAUUGAUUUCAAAAAACCCAGAUAUAAGUGAAAUUACCUCGACGGAUCGCUCUCUUGGCCUUCCUCAUUGGUAAUCAUUGCUAGUAACGUUGGAUUCGAAGCCACCUUGAGACGGAAUCCACGAGAAUCGAAAACCCCCAAAUCACUUAGGGUUUAUCACUCACAGUUCUAGAAUCGAGAAUGAGAAAGAAGAUGAAGUGAAUACAAUGUCCAAAACGACGUCGUUUUGUGUUUUACUUUGGCAUCUCAAUUCAAUCCAAAACGACGUCGUUUUGGAACUCUCUGCACACGUGGACUCCCCGUCAGCAUGACUUCACGGUUCGUUAACAGUGUUAGGCGUUUUGCACGUUUUUGUAUUAUUUAGCACAAAAAGUUGAGUGUAGGUUUGGAAUUCAAAUUUAGUACAAGUUGGGGUAUGUUAUAGCACAAGCAAUAGAUAAAUGUAUGAAUUCAACACAGUUAUUAUGUGGGGGUAUGAAAAAGCCGACUUUUCCGUAAGCCAUAUAUAGGAUCAUAGAGAUCAUCUACGAGUUGAAUUAUCAAUAUGUGAAAUUGAAUAAUAUUUCCUUUUUUAUAUAUAUUAUAUAUUUCCGUUUCUUAUUUACCUUAGAGUUUCAAAAUUCUAUUUGUUAAAUUCAAACAAGAAUGCGCUCUUGAAAAUGCAUCAUAAAGUAGUACUGACUCUUAUCUUUUACAAACUUGACGAUAAAGAAAAAAUAUUACAUUGCAUAUUAUUUUAAAUUUUGUAUGAUUAAUUUGUAUUUUUUGGAGGUGGAGAAUAAAUUUAUAAAAAUUAGUGGGUUGGGGGUUUUUUUUUUGCACAAAAUCCUAUGAUAUACUAAGUUUGCCCAAAAAUAAAGCAGUGUUGAAAUAAUUCAUAUAUUGGAUUUUUCUUUGAGUGGUGUUAGUAUUCAGAAAUGAAUAUCUUUUCCUUAAUUUCAACGUCACCUCAUCAAAAUGAGGACAUUAUAAGAACCAUGUCGCGUGUCAAGCCCUAAAAUAUGCUGGUGGAUAUAGAGCAUGGAAAAUAAUUAAUUUGAUUAUUUCUGUUAGAGAUCGUUUAAUCUUUCUAGUUCUACAAAUAUAUAUGAUGGUGGAUAUAGAGCAUGGAAAAUAAUUAAUUUGAUUAUUUUUACCAUAACCUAUUACAAGAGAAUUCUACGAGAAAGUUGGAGAAACUAUUUCUAUAAUCAAAAUAUGAUUUUUACUUUUUUAGUGUCCUAUAUUAGAAAUCCUAUAUAGUACGAAAUAUAGUAGAAAUUAUGAAAGACUAGCUAACAAAUUUUACAAGAUUUUCAAAAUGCCAACCAUUAGAUAAAGAUGGAAUCCAUUAACCAAAACAUGGACGUCGUGAUCCUGCACAAACAAUCCCAGCCAAAUCAUACAUAUAAAAUUAAGGUUUAACUCUCUUCUUAUUGGUCCAUUUGGCAAUGUAACUUAAAAAUUUUUAUUUUUAAAUAAAUUAUAAAUAACACACAUUUAACUCACACUUUAAUAUACAAACUGAAAUCAUUAAAAAUUAUACAUUAACUAUAUUUUCCACUCAAUUUUAUUCAAUACACAAUAAAUUAGAAUUGUAACUCCCAUAAUUUAUUUUUUUAAAUGUAACUUAACUCACUUCUUAUCCUAUAAAUAUACAUUUCUCCUUCUCUCAUCCUCUAAUCCUCUCACCUUCUUCCAUCAUAUCUCAAAUCUUAAAUAAUUUUUUGUUUUGUGUUCUUACAUUAGUUUUUUUUUUUUUUUUUUUUUUUGAAAGAUGCAUCUUCAUUGUCUAUUUUAGAUAAUCAUUCUCUCAUCUUCUUCUACUAUAUUUAUGUGCCUAUUUUUAUAUUUUUAUAUGGAUUAAAAAUCAAGAAAUUGAUUCUAUAUAUAUUUAUUUUAGAAAGUAUUAUAUAUAUCCAAUAUUGUAUUUAUUUUUGUAUAUUUUUCAAAAGCCAUACUAAAUAUACUUAUUUAUUCUUUAAUUUUCAUUUUUUUGGGGUUAAUUUCAUAUAUGUAUACUAAAAGUUUUGAUGGAUAUAAUAAAAUUGUCAGAUUUAUUGUUGAUGGAGAGUUAAAUAUAUCAAUUCCAAUCAUAGCACAACAAUGAAGUUGAAAAUAUCCAUUUCCAUUAUCUACUUUAGAUAUUUGAUUUUUUUCUAAUAUAUUCAUAUAAUUUUUUUUAAUUAUGCAAUAUUUAAUGAAAUAAAUUAUUGUACUACAUUUAAUAAAUAUAUAUUUCUCACCUUUUUCUUAUCUGGAAUAAAUUUUGUAAUUUAUUUUUAAUAUAUGUAUCAUUAUAUUUACUUUUUGUGAUCCGAUAGAUAAUUAUAUAAAAAUCGCUAUACUGUUUAUUUUAUUUAAAAUUUGAGGUUUAAGUAUUUUUCAAUUAAAAAGAAUUUUGUUAAAACAAAUUUGGUAUUUAAGAUUAAAAAAAAUGAAAUCAUAUGGUUCAAGAAAAUUAAAUUUAGGUAGAAUAGAAAAUUAGAAUGAAACCUAACACUCACACUUAAA
rnacentral:lncRNA from 1 species